rnacentral:tRNA from 1 species
GAGGAUAUGGCUCAAGUUGUAGAGCACAUGCUUAGCAUGCACAAGGUCCUGGGUUCAAUUCCCAGUACCUCCU